rnacentral:rRNA from 1 species
GGCGAACGCUGGCGGCGUGCCUAAUACAUGCAAGUCGAGCGGACCGGCUUGGGGCUUGCCUUGAUUCCGUCAGCGGCGGACGGGUGAGUAACACGUGGGCAACCUGCCCGCAAGACCGGGAUAACUCCGGGAAACCGGAGCUAAUACCGGAUAACACCGUAGACCGCAUGGUCUUCGGUUGAAAGGCGGCCUUUGGGCUGUCACUUGCGGAUGUGACCGCGGCGCAUUGGCUAGUUGGUGAGGUAACGGCUCACCAAGGCGACGAUGGGGAGCCUGCCUGGGAAGGGGGCCGGCCGCACUGGGACUGGGAACCGGCCCAGACGCCUUGGGGAGGCAGCAAGAGGGGAACUUGCGGAAGGGGGGAAAGCCUGGAGGGACGAAGCCGCGGAAGGGAAGAAGGGCGUCGGGUCGGAAAGAUCUGUUGUGAGGGACGAAAGAGCGUCGUUCGAAGAGGGCGGCGCGGUGACGGUACCUAACGAGAAAGCCCCGGCUAACUACGUG